AGAUAGAAAGUUACUUCGGUUACAUCGGUGACAGGUGGUGGCAUGGUUGUCGUCAGCUCGUGUCGUGAGAUGUUGGUUAAGUCCCGCAACGAGCGCAACCCCUAUUGUUAGUUGCCAUCAUUCAGUUGGGCACUCUAGCGAGACUGCCGGUAAUAAACCGGAGGAAGGUGGGGAUGACGUCAAAUCAUCAUGCCCCUUAUGACCUGGGCUACACACGUGCUACAAUGGUUGGUACAACGAGUUGCGAGUCGGUGACGGCGAGCUAAUCUCUUAAAGCCAAUCUCAGUUCGGAUUGUAGGCUGCAACUCGCCUACAUGAAGUCGGAAUCGCUAGUAAUCGCGGAUCAGCACGCCGCGGUGAAUACGUUCCCGGGCCUU
rnacentral:rRNA from 1 species